AUGGCCAUGGCGCAAGGACAAGGGUCGCGGGCCACGAGGGAGGCCGUGCCUCCGGUGUCUCGUGUGGCCAUCAUCGGUGGUGGGAUCAGCGGCCUGGCCGCGGCCAAGCAGAUGGCGGCCUACGACCCCGUCGUGUUCGAGGCGACGCCGUCCGUCGGCGGAGUGUGGAAGCACUGCGUCUACCGCACCACGCGGCUGCAGACGCCCCGCCCGGACUACGAGUUCUCCGACUACUCCUGGAAGAACCGCGACGACCCUUCGUUCCCGACCCACACCGAGAUCGUCGACUACCUCGAGGGCUACGCCGACGAGUUCGACCUCUGGCGCUACAUCUCGUUUGGGUCCAAGGUGGUGGACAUCAAGUUCCUCGGCGGCGCCCAAGCCGGGUUCACCGAGCUGUGGAGCGGCACCGGCAAGGAUCCGCUCCGUGGCAAGCCCAUGUGGGAGGUCGGCAUCGUCACCGGCGACUCGAACACCGUUCAGUAUUACAAGUUCGAGUUCGUGGUGAUGUGCACGGGGAAGUACGGCGACGUGCCGCGGAUGCCGGUGUUCCCGCCGGGGAAGGGGCCGGAGGUGUUCAAGGGGACGGUGAUGCACUCGCUGGACUACUGCAAGCUGAGCGAGGAGGAGACCGUUGAGCUGAUGCGAGGCAAGAAGGUUGUGGUGGUUGGGUACAAGAAGAGCGCUAUCGAUCUAGCCAACGAAUGUGCUCAGGCAAACCAAGGCGAGGGAGGGCAGGCGUGCACGAUGCUGGUACGGACCUUGCACUGGGUGGUGCCAUCGUACUCCAUCUGGGGCUUGCCAUUCUCCAUGUUCUACUCCACACGCUUGUCUCAGCUCUUCUACGAGCGGCCCAACCAAGGGUUCUUCCGAUCCCUCGUCUGCCGCCUCAUGAGCCCACUGACCAUGCAUGCAUAUCACAAUCUGACAGCAACGUCUUGUUCUUUGAACUUUUGUGGUCCAGCGGUCAGGGGUGUCGAAGUUCAUCGAGUCGUACCUGUCGUGGAAGCUGCCGCUGGGAAAGUACGGUCUGACGCCGGACCACCCCUUCUAGAGGACUACGCCAGCUGCCAGAUGGCCAUCCUCCCGGAGGGCUUCUUCGACAUGGCGGACCGCGGCCUCGUCCGCUUCAAGAGGGCCUCCACCGGGUGGUGCUUCUCGGAGAACGGCGUGGUCCUCGACGACGGCACCAAGGUGGAGGCCGACCUCGUCUUCCUCGCCACCGGCUUCGAGGGCAAGGAGAAGCUCCGCGAGGUCCUGCCAAAGCCCUUCCGCGACCUCGUCGUCGGCAAGUCUUCCAUGAUGCCGCUCUACCGUGGCACGAUCCACCCGCUGAUCCCGAACAUGGCUUUCGUGGGGUUCGUGGAGAGCGUGUCGAACCUGCACACGUCGGAGCUGCGGUGCCGGUGGCUGUCGGGGCUGCUGGAGGGGCGGUUCGAGCUGCCGAGCGUGAAGGCCAUGAUGGGGCACGUCGCCGGCGAGGCCGACGCCAUGCGCCGCACCACGCGGUUCUACCGCCGCCACUGCAUCUCCACCUACAGCAUCCACGACAGCGACGGCAUGUGCGCCGACCUGGGCUCCGCCACGCUCCGCAAGGCCAACUGGAUCGCCGAGCUCUUCGCGCCAUACAACAACAAGGACUACAAGGAGCAGUAA
rnacentral:rRNA from 1 species